GUGCGCUUCUGCCAUCUUUUCCCUUCCUAUCAGGAAAAGAGAUACUUAGGUGUGCUGAGCAAACCCUUGGAAGGAAAUGUGCCGAGAGUUCAAGUCAGCCAUUGCUGCUAGGCACCUUCAGACAAGC
rnacentral:snoRNA from 1 species